rnacentral:lncRNA from 1 species
UAAAUAUAUUUUUAAUAAAAUAAAAAAAAAAAAAAAAAUUUUUAACCAAUGUCAUAUUGAAAUUCCUACUUUACAAAAACAAAUUACUUUUGAUGAAAAUAUAAAUAAUGAUAUAUAUAAUUAUUUAUUUGAAUUUAAUUUUUUUACUUUAAAUGUAUCGAAAUAUUAUAAUAACAAUUUAACUGUAUCUAAAAUAUUUUAUCAUAUUUUUAAAGUAGCUUUAUUUCUUCAUCCAUUAUGCUAUGUUAACUCUUUUAAAAAUUUUACCUUACUACACAAUUAUAUUAUCAAUACAAAGUUGUUAUUACUUAUUUUAAUGAGGUCCUUAAAUAUAUUAAAAAAUAAAAAAAUUACCAACAUUGUUUAUUCCCUUAUUUUUGGAGAAUAUAUAAAUGUUCAAUUUUUAUAUACAAUUUUAUCAAACGAUUUGAAAGAUCCAUAUUUUUAUAGCUACUUUUUUGAUACUCACAAAAAAAUAAACAUUAAUAUAAAUCCAAAUAAUGAUAGUGAAUAUGAAAGUGUUUAUUGUUCUUCUAUUAAUAAUAUUAUGCCACUAUAUAACAAAGAGGAAGAAAACCUUUAUUUAGAGCUAAUAAAUAUGUAUUAUGACCAAGGUGGGGAUUAUAUGAAAAGUUAUAACGAUGGAAAUGAAAACACACACGGUUCUAUACCUACUAACAAUGACAUAAGCACUCAGUUAAACCCAGCGGAAGAAACCAAAUCAGACAAUAAAACUUACCCAGAAGAAUGUACAAAGAGUGAAGUAGAUGAAAAAAUGAACAAAGCAAAAGAUAUAAAGAAGAAUGAUAUAAAAAAGUAUAACGAAUUAAGUAAUCCAAUAUUUUUAAAUUUUUUAUUACUUACAAAUAUACAAAAAGAAAAAAAUAUAAGAAAAAAUGAAAAGAAUAAUAUAAAAAAUAAAAUUUCUGAUAUUUAUUUUUUAUUAAGUAUACAAUUUAUUUAUAAUUUUAUUGAAGAAUAUAAUGGCGAUUUAAGUAAUAUGUUUAUACCAUUUUUUAAAAUCUGCGAAUAUAAUUUUUUAUAUGUUUUUUGGAACAUAAUAAAUGUUCAUAUAAAAAGUUUAAAUCUUCGAGUCUUCACUUUAAAGUUAUUAAUCAAUUUAACUUUGUUAUAUACUCAAAAAGUAAAUGACCAAAAAUUGUCUUUG